UACGAAGGUGGCAAGCGUUACUCGGAAUUACUAGGCGUAAAGGGCAGGUAGGUGGUUUGAUAAGUCUGUUGUGUAAGCUCCCGGCUUAAACUGGGAGAGGUCAACGGAAACUAUCAGACUUGAGUAUAGGAGAGGUUACGUGGAAUUCCCGGUGUAGCGGUGAAAUGCGCAGAGAUCGGGAGGAACACCAAUGGCGAAAGCAGGUAAUUGGACUAUUACUGACACUCAGCUGCGAAAGCUAGGGGAGCA
rnacentral:rRNA from 1 species